UCUUCCGCAAUGGACGAAAGUCUGACGGAGCAACGCCGCGUGAGUGAUGACGGUUUUCGGAUCGUAAAACUCUGUUGUUAGGGAAGAACACGUACAGUUCGAAUAGGGCGGCACCUUGACGGUACCUAACCAGAACGCCAAGGCUAACUACGUGCCAGCCGCCGCGGUAAUCCGUAGGUGGCAAGCGUUGUCCGGAAUUAUUGGGCGUAAAGCGCGCGCAGGCGGUUUCUUAAGUCUGAUGUGAAAGCCCCCGUCUCAACCGGGGAGGGUCAUUGGAAACUGGGGAACUUGAGUGCAGAAGAGGAGAGUGGAAUUCCACGUGUAGCGGUGAAAUGCGUAGAGAUGUGGAGGAACACCAGUGGCGAAGGCGACUCUCUGGUCUGUAACUGACGCUGAGGCGCGAAAGCGUGGGGAGCGAACAG
rnacentral:rRNA from 1 species